rnacentral:rRNA from 1 species
UACGGAGGGUGCGAGCGUUGUCCGGAAUCUCUGGGCGUAAAGGGCGCGUAGGUGGCCCGUUAAGUGGCUGGUGAAAUCCCGCGGCUCAACUGCGGGGCUGCCGGUCAUACUGGCGAGCUAGAGCACGGUAGGGGCAGAUGGAAUUCCCGGUGUAGCGGUGGAAUGCGUAGAGAUCGGGAAGAAUACCAGUGGCGAAGGCGUUCUGCUGGGCCGUUGCUGACACUGAGGCGCGACAGCGUGGGGAGCAAACAGG